rnacentral:rRNA from 1 species
AGUGAACGCUGGCGGUAGGCCUAACACAUGCAAGUCGAACGGCAGCACAGUAAGAGCUUGCUCUUACGGGUGGCGAGUGGCGGACGGGUGAGGAAUACAUCGGAAUCUACUUUUUCGUGGGGGAUAACGUAGGGAAACUUACGCUAAUACAGCAUACGACCUACGGGUGAAAGCAGGAGAUCUUCGGACCUUGCGCGAUUGAAUGAGCCGAUGUCGGAUUAGCUAGUUGGCGGGGUAAAGGCCCACCAAGGCGACGAUCCGUAGCUGGUCUGAGAGGAUGAUCAGCCACACUGGAACUGAGACACGGUCCAGACUCCUACGGGAGGCAGCAGUAGGGAAUAUUGGACAAUGGGCGCAAGCCUGAUCCAGCCAUACCGCGUGGGUGAAGAAGGCCUUCGGAUUGUAAAGCCCUUUUGUUGGGAAAGAAAAGCAGCAGGAUAAUACCCCGCUGUUCUGACGGUACCCAAAGAGUAAGCACCGGCUAACUUCGUG